AGCGAACGCUGGCGGCAGGCUUAACACAUGCAAGUCGAACGGUCCUUCGGGAUAGUGGCGGACGGGUGAGUAACACGUGGGAACGUGCCCUUAGGUUCGGAACAACACAGGGAAACUUGUGCUAAUACCGGAUGUGCCCGAAAGGGGAAAGAUUUAUCGCCUUUGGAGCGGCCCGCGUCUGAUUAGCUAGUUGGGGAGGUAAAGGCUCACCAAGGCUACGAUCAGUAGCUGGUCUGAGAGGAUGGCCAGCCACAUUGGGACUGAGACACGGCCCAAACUCCUACGGGAGGCAGCAGUGGGGAAUCUUGCGCAAUGGGCGAAAGCCUGACGCAGCCAUGCCGCGUGGGUGAUGAAGGUCUUAGGAUUGUAAAAUCCUUUCAGCGGGGACGAUAAUGACGGUACCCGCAGAAGAAGCCCCGGCUAACUUCGUGCCAGCAGCCGCCGUAAAAC
rnacentral:rRNA from 1 species